GUCAUCUCCAGGUUUUGUGGAUCAUACCAUUCGAGUGGCUGCGCUGGACACUGAUCCUGGUUGCCAUGGUGAUCUCUGGCUCAGUCCUCGUGCUCACCUUCUGGCCCGUCGUCCGCGACGACACCAAGGUGAUGGCAGUGGCCACGGUGGCGACCAUCGUGGUUUUGCACACGCUGCUGGCGGUCGGCUGCAAGCUCUACUUCUUCCAGACAGCAGUCCACAUACCGCCACCUACAAGUCCCCCGAUUCAUGUGACACUGACCACCAAACCCCACUGACCGAUACAGAGGAGGGAGGGGAGCUGGCAGGGAGAGGAGAAGUGAAGGCCAUCUGUUAUGUCUGGAAUCACAUGCAGAUAUAAACCAAGUACAAACAUUCUGCUUGAGGCAAUGUUAAUUAUUGCCGUCGUGUGAUUGGUUGUAUGCUUCCGUGGUGAAGCGCUGAGGUGAGUGUGUGUGUGGCUGUUUGUGUAAUUUAUCCCGAGGUGGUUCGACUGCGACUGAAGUAGCACUUGUUCAGUAAAUUAACUACGUUUCUACUGUGAUGUUUCAGAAUGUAGUGCAUCCAGAAGGUCCAGCACGGCUUCCUUAACACUGUGAUGUCAGUCAGUUUAGUGAGAAACACAGACGCGCAAGUAACAGCAAAAGAAAACAAAAAGCAAGCACAUCAUAAAACCAUUCCUUCCUAUGACACAUCAUGUGGAGUUUUUCAGCUUAAAAACUAACUUCAUCGUAGGUUUGGCACAGGAAGUUCUCUAAAUCUGCUGAAACUAAAAUGCUUGUGUUGCAUGUGGGAUGUUUGCAAAGCAGCGCAAACUCAAUUCUGUAGACAGCAAAACAGGGACUGCGGCAUGUACAGUAGUUAUUUUCAGAAUUGCUAUUUUUUCAAUUAAUUGCUCAGUUAGUAAAACAAAGAAAGCACUCGUCAUAAUACCAUCAAAACCUGGUAAAGAAAGGACGGCACUUUUAAGUGAGCCGCCCGUCUCCAGCGUGCGUAUUGGGAGAUUUACAAUCAAUGGACACAAGUGAAGGUAUUUAUCCAGUUGUCCCAGCAGGGGACUCUGUGAACAUACGUGUUCUAUUUGUAAUCAUAAAUCGUGGGUCGCUCGGCUUUUUAACGGUUACAGCUGUAGGUAUUGAGAGUCAGCCGUCUGAACACACUCCCUUGGUUCCCUCAUUUCGAUGGGUUGAAGAAUGUUUUAUUUAUGAAGUGCAUGUAAUAUGUAGUGUUAGUUUUUAUGUUUUACUUUGCAAACUGUUUCACUUUUAAGUAUUCCUGUGACGUGGGCUCCCCCUGCUGGGACAGACCGAACUGGAUCUCUGUAAUUAACUUCACUUGUGUCUACUGAUUGUGAAUUUGCCAACACACACACCAAGGAAAAGCCAUUUUUGAAUGCUGUCCUAGUCUCUGCAAUGUAUAAAAAUAUCAGAAAACUGUGGAGUAUCACAACUUCUCAAAGCCCAAAGUGACCUCUUAACCAAAAGAUGUCAAACGUACAACUACAGAAAUCAAAGAAUAGCAUAAAGGUCUCUUACUCUUGUCUGUAAGGUCUGUCCACACAACUGGGAACCUGUUACACUAGGAAAAAAGCAAAGGGGUAAACACUACCAAUGGAUCUGUUCUAUUGAAGCGUCCCAGUGAGCCAACACAGAAUCAGUUUUCAGCUGCUAUUUUCUCAUCAUCCUGUUCAAAAAUGUAAACCAAGGAGGUCAAGUGAGGGAAUUCUGUCCACCUCAGCCCCUGUGGUGGAAACACUGGAGCAAAUGGACAUUUCUGUUUUUUUUCCCCCUUUUGAGCGAGUAAAGAAGUUACUGCGACACGUCAAGUCACCUGAUCUCAAACUGUUGUGAUCCUCUAAACUCUCAUCUAACACCAGAACAUGUCAAAUCAUCUAAUGCUUACCUGCAAAACCAAACCACUGUUAACAUACGAACAUUGUACCUGCUAAAAAUCAGCACGCUCUGCUAAUGCUAGCACACUGACAUCAGCUCAGUUUGGCUGUAGAUUAACAACAUGUAUUAAACUAUUGGCGAGACGUCAAUCUUGAAUCUGCAUGUCGGAAAGCAGAACAUACUCGACUUAUCUAUGGUUUGGGAUCAAAAAGCCUUGUGGUGAUCCCAGCAAGCUUGUUGCAUCAGUCACAUGUGAAGGAAGCCAUUCCAGACUGAGGUACAUGGAGGCGAAUGUGAACGAACUAAGAACUCGUGUCGAUGCACCACAUCACCUGCUCUCCUCCUCCUCCUUCCCUUCCUGAACAACUUCAGUCGCUUUGUCUGAAUAGAUGAUUUAUUGUAAAGUGAGGAAAAGGUUUAUGUCUACAGAACUAUUUAUUCCCUGAUGUGAUGCGAUUUAGGGUUUUUGUUAAUAAAACUUAGAAUCUUUACUCCCUCA